rnacentral:rRNA from 1 species
AUACGGAGGGGGCUAGCGUUGUUCGGAAUUACUGGGCGUAAAGCGCGCGUAGGCGGAUUGAUCAGUCAGGGGUGAAAUCCCGAGGCUUAACCUCGGAACUGCCUCUGAUACUGUCAAUCUUGAGUUCGAGAGAGGUGAGUGGAAUUCCUAGUGUAGAGGUGAAAUUCGUAGAUAUUAGGAAGAACACCAGUGGCGAAGGCGGCUCACUGGCCCGAUACUGACGCUGAGGCGCGAAAGCGUGGGGAGCAAACAGGAUUAGAUACCCUAGUAGUCC